rnacentral:rRNA from 1 species
UACGCAGGGUGCAAGCGUUGUCCGGAAUUAUUGGGCGUAAAGAGCUCGUAGGCGGUUUGUCGCGUCUGCUGUGAAAACUCGGGGCUUAACUCCGGGCCUGCAGUGGGUACGGGCAGACUAGAGUGCGGUAGGGGAGACUGGAAUUCAUGGUGUAGCAGUGAAAUGCGUAGAGAUCAUGAGGAAGACCAGUGGCGAAGGCGGGUCUCUGGACAGUUCCUGACACUGAGGCACGAAGGCCAGGGGAGCAAACGGG